GUUCAGUUCUUGUUGAGCAAUCUUGGAUGGAGCAUCUCCGUUUCCUUUUUAAGUGUUGUAUAGAUUUGGUUGGGAUUCUAUGUCCAGUUCAACUCGGAAUAUUCAUCAAAACAGGGUUUCGGUUAAUUCAAAUCAUUUGGAGACACCAGAUGAAAAAUUAAUGAGUGGAAAUCAUGCUGAGAAAGGAUGACAUUUCGAAUCACUUACAACGUUCUGAUAAUGCACUAGAAUCACGUAACCUUCCGAGUAUGUGGAGACUUCAUAAUGUGUAUGCGUGCUGCUCGAAUAUUUCCACAAAGCUCUGAUUGUUAUGUCUAUCAAUAUCAAUAUCCUCACAUUGGCGUCAGCACUCUCUAUCUGAAUAAUGUUUCAUGGAUUUCAGAGCAUUAUGUCACUCACAAAGAGAAAAUGAUAAGUGAAGGACCUUCCCGAUGUUUGUGGCAUCAUAUGUGCCAAAGUACAUAGAAUCAUCACUUCGAAGCAGGCUGUUCAACAUUAUAGAUAUAAAAGGGAAAAAAUGAGCUGUUACUCGAUCGUAUAACAUGUUUCUACAAUAAAUUAGAAGCAAAACUGUAAAUGGCCACAUGCGUGCCAUUGUCCCUGAAGAGGUUUUAACUCAUUAUGAUAGAAAAGCGAACAUCACCGAGUGUCGUAUCAGAACUGGUGAAUAAGGAUUGAUAUAAUCAUUACUUGAUAGUUUAUUCUUCACUAGCACUGAUAUUCAUUUCUUUCGAGACGGAUAAACAUUAUUUGAAUGCAAUAGAGAAGGAUCUUACUGUAAAACAUUACACGAACAAUAAAUAACAUUUUGAACUAUUAUAGAUCGAAUUUAUCAA